GUUGAAUUGGAAAAAUAUGCAUAGUAAGUGCACUGGCCAGUUGAUUAUUCUUUUCCUUGUUGAAAAGUUUGGAAACCUGACAUCCCCCUCUCCAGCCUUCUCUAUCUUCACAUCCUUAUAUCAUUUAUUUGAUUUCGUAGAUCUAAUGGUGUAUACUGGUUUUGAAUAUUUCUCCAAAAUGGUCUUGAUUUGGGUGUAAAUUUUGUUCUAAUCAGGCCCCAAU
rnacentral:misc_RNA from 1 species